GCUCCAAUAGCGUAUAUUAAAGUUGUUGCAGUUAAAAAGCUCGUAGUUGGAUUUCGGAAGGUCCUUAGUAAUCCGCCCCUUCGGGGAGCGGGUUACUGGCCUCCUAUGUUCCUAACGGUCCUCAUCCGCGAGGGUGGGGAAUCAACCGCUAGGAUCGUUUACUUUGAGGAAAUUAGAGUGUUCAAAGCAGGCGUAACUCG
rnacentral:rRNA from 1 species